CCGAAUGGGGAAACCCAGUGUGAUUCGUCACACUAUCAUUAACUGAAUCCAUAGGUUAAUGAGGCGAACCGGGGGAACUGAAACAUCUAAGUACCCCGAGGAAAAGAAAUCAACCGAGAUUCCCCCAGUAGCGGCGAGCGAACGGGGAGGAGCCCAGAGCCUGAAUCAGCAUGUGUGUUAGUGGAAGCGUCUGGAAAGGCGCGCGAUACAGGGUGACAGCCCCGUACACAAAAGCGCAUGUGCUGUGAGCUCGAUGAGUAGGGCGGGACACGUGGUAUCCUGUCUGAAUAUGGGGGGACCAUCCUCCAAGGCUAAAUACUCCUGACUGACCGAUAGUGAACCAGUACCGUGAGGGAAAGGCGAAAAGAACCCCGGCGAGGGGAGUGAAAAAGAACCUGAAACCGUGUACGUACAAGCAGUGGGAGCNNNNNNNNNNNNNNNNNNNNNNNNNNNNUUAACCGUAUAGGGGAGCCGGAGGGAAACCGAGUCUUAACCGGGCGUUAAGUUGCAGGGUAUAGACCCGAAACCCGGUGAUCUAGCCAUGGGCAGGUUGAAGGUUGGGUAACACUAACUGGAGGACCGAACCGACUAAUGUUGAAAAAUUAGCGGAUGACCUGUGGCUGGGGGUGAAAGGCCAAUCAAACCGGGAGAUAGCUGGUUCUCCCCGAAAGCUAUUUAGGUAGCGCCUCGUGAAUUCAUCUCCGGGGGUAGAGCACUGUUUCGGCUAGGGGGCCAUCCCGGCUUACCAACCCGAUGCAAACUGCGAAUACCGGAGAAUGUUAUCACGGGAGACACACGGCGGGUGCUAACGUCCGUCGUGAAGAGGGAAACAACCCAGACCGCCAGCUAAGGUCCCAAAGUCAUGGUUAAGUGGGAAACGAUGUGGGAAGGCCCAGACAGCCAGGAUGUUGGCUUAGAAGCAGCCAUCAUUUAAAGAAAGCGUAAUAGCUCACUGGUCGAGUCGGCCUGCGCGGAAGAUGUAACGGGGCUAAACCAUGCACCGAAGCUGCGGCAGCGANNNNNNNNNNNNNNNNNNNNNNNNNNNNNNNNNNNNNNNNNNNNNNNNNNNNNNNNNNNNNNNNNNNNNNNNNNNUGCUGGAGGUAUCAGAAGUGCGAAUGCUGACAUAAGUAACGAUAAAGCGGGUGAAAAGCCCGCUCGCCGGAAGACCAAGGGUUCCUGUCCAACGUUAAUCGGGGCAGGGUGAGUCGACCCCUAAGGCGAGGCCGAAAGGCGUAGUCGAUGGGAAACGGGUUAAUAUUCCCGUACUUGGUGUUACUGCGAAGGGGGGACGGAGAAGGCUAUGUUGGCCGGGCGACGGUUGUCCCGGUUUAAGCGUGUAGGUGUGUGUUCCAGGUAAAUCCGGUUCACUUUAACACUGAGGCGUGACGACGAGGCACUACGGUGCUGAAGCAACAAAUGCCCUGCUUCCAGGAAAAGCCUCUAAGCAUCAGGUAACACGAAAUCGUACCCCAAACCGACACAGGUGGUCAGGUAGAGAAUACCAAGGCGCUUGAGAGAACUCGGGUGAAGGAACUAGGCAAAAUGGUGCCGUAACUUCGGGAGAAGGCACGCUGACACGUAGGUGAAGUGAUUUACUCAUGGAGCUGAAGUCAGUCGAAGAUACCAGCUGGCUGCAACUGUUUAUUAAAAACACAGCACUGUGCAAACACGAAAGUGGACGUAUACGGUGUGACGCCUGCCCGGUGCCGGAAGGUUAAUUGAUGGGGUCAGCGCAAGCGAAGCUCCUGAUCGAAGCCCCGGUAAACGGCGGCCGUAACUAUAACGGUCCUAAGGUAGCGAAAUUCCUUGUCGGGUAAGUUCCGACCUGCACGAAUGGCGUAAUGAUGGCCAGGCUGUCUCCACCCGAGACUCAGUGAAAUUGAACUCGCUGUGAAGAUGCAGUGUACCCGCGGCAAGACGGAAAGACCCCGUGAACCUUUACUAUAGCUUGACACUGAACAUUGAGCCUUGAUGUGUAGGAUAGGUGGGAGGCUUUGAAGUGUGGACGCCAGUCUGCAUGGAGCCGACCUUGAAAUACCACCCUUUAAUGUUUGAUGUUCUAACGUGGACCCGUAAUCCGGGUUGCGGACAGUGUCUGGUGGGUAGUUUGACUGGGGCGGUCUCCUCCUAAAGAGUAACGGAGGAGCACGAAGGUUGGCUAAUCCUGGUCGGACAUCAGGAGGUUAGUGCAAUGGCAUAAGCCAGCUUGACUGCGAGCGUGACGGCGCGAGCAGGUGCGAAAGCAGGUCAUAGUGAUCCGGUGGUUCUGAAUGGAAGGGCCAUCGCUCAACGGAUAAAAGGUACUCCGGGGAUAACAGGCUGAUACCGCCCAAGAGUUCAUAUCGACGGCGGUGUUUGGCACCUCGAUGUCGGCUCAUCACAUCCUGGGGCUGAAGUAGGUCCCAAGGGUAUGGCUGUUCGCCAUUUAAAGUGGUACGCGAGCUGGGUUUAGAACGUCGUGAGACAGUUCGGUCCCUAUCUGCCGUGGGCGCUGGAGAACUGAGGGGGGCUGCUCCUAGUACGAGAGGACCGGAGUGGACGCAUCACUGGUGUUCGGGUUGUCAUGCCAAUGGCACUGCCCGGUAGCUAAAUGCGGAAGAGAUAAGUGCUGAAAGCAUCUAAGCACGAAACUUGCCCCGAGAUGAGUUCUCCCUGAGACUUAGAGUCUCCUGAAGGAACGUUGAAGACGACGACGUUGAUAGGCCGGGUGUGUAAGCGCAGCGAUGCGUUGAGCUAACCGGUACUAAUGAACCGUGAGGCUUAACCUUACAACGCCGAAG
rnacentral:rRNA from 1 species